UAUUAGUGGUUGCUUCUUUUAGAAGUGCCAAGUUUUAAUUUUAAUUUAUUUGAACGGAGCUUGGAGCUUUAAAUUAAUCUGCUGAUGUGUAUUUGUUAGAUUCUAAUUUGGAAUCAAGAACUGGAAGAUAAACUUUUGGUUUGUGGAACUUUUUUUUUUCUUGAUUUCAGUUAGAUUUUUGUGAUUAAACCUAUAGUCUUGGUCAAUUUCCG
rnacentral:lncRNA from 1 species